UGGGGAAUAUUGCGCAAUGGGCGAAAGCCUGACGCAGCAACGCCGCGUGAGUGAUGAAGGUCUUCGGAUCGUAAAGCUCUGUCGGCAGGAACGAUGGGUAAAUUGGUUAACAACCAGACUACUUGACGGUACCUGCAAAGGAAGCACCGGCUAACUCUGUGCCAGCAGCCGCGGUAAUACAGAGGGUGCAAGCGUUGUUCGGAAUUAUUGGGCGUAAAGGGCGCGUAGGCGGCAUUAUAAGUCGGAUGUGAAAGCCCAGGGCUCAACCCUGGAAGUGCAUUCGAAACUGUAGAGCUUGAAUCUUGGAGAGGGUGGUGGAAUUCCCGGUGUAGAGGUGAAAUUCGUAGAUAUCGGGAGGAACAUCAGUGGCGAAGGCGACCACCUGGCUGAAGAUUGACGCUGAGGCGCGAAAGCGUGGGGAUCAAACAG
rnacentral:rRNA from 1 species